GCCGGGGUGGCGGAAUUGGUAGACGCAAGGGACUUAAAAUCCCUCGAGGGUAACCUCGUGCCGGUUCGAGUCCGGCCCUCGGCACCA
rnacentral:tRNA from 2 species